rnacentral:rRNA from 1 species
ACUAUUGUCACGGGUUACCGCGGCUGCUGGCACGGAGUUAGCCGGUGCUUCUUCUGUGAGUGAUGUUCUUCCUGCCGGCUAUUAACCCGCAGGCUUCUUCCUCACUGAAAGUGCUUUACAACCCGAAGGCCUUCUUCACACACGCGGCAUGGCUGGAUCAGGGUUGCCCCCAUUGUCCAAUAUUCCCCACUGCUGCCUCCCGUAGGAGUCUGGGCCGUGUCUCAGUCCCAGUGU